AGUGAAUCAUGCUGACGACUGAAUCCAAGGCAAUAUGGUGACAGUAUUGAAUAAUGUUUGGUUUGAUAUGGUGCAACGCCUGGACCUGUGAGAUGUUGCUGCUCAACCAGACAAGCUAUUAAAACAUUCAGAACAGUCUUUACAUCACAUUCCCAUUAGGUCCCAUGCGGUAGCAAGUCUAGCACACUAGCCUACAGUUUGCACCAAGCUGCCAGUCAACAUCUGAGGACAACCUACAGCAGGGCCGUGUCCAGACCGGGCCGUGUCCAGACCUUCCAGGGGGAAGGUGCUCAAAAUGAAAGAAGUACACCAACUUGGGGGCAAGUGGGUUCAGAACAACAACUGUAUAUAAAAAUAAUGAUUAUGCCACCACCCAAAAGGGCACUUGGCGAGUGGGAGUGCAAAGGGGUAGAGGUCCUCGGUACAGGGAGACUUCCAUCUACAGCAGAGGGGUAGAGGUCCUCGGUACAGGGAGACUUCCAUCUACAGCAGAGGGGUAGAGGUCCUCGGUACAGGGAGACUUCCAUCUACAGCAGAGGGGUAGAGGUCCUCGGUACAGGGAGACUUCCAUCUACAGCAGAGGGGUAGAGGUCCUCGGUACAGGGAGACUUCCAUCUACAGCAGAGGGGUAGGUCCUCGGUACAGGGAGACUUCCAUCUACAGCAGAGGGGUAGAGGUCCUCGGUACAGGGAGACUUCCAUCUACAGCAGAGGGGUAGAGGUCCUCGGUACAGGGAGACUUCCAUCUACAGCAGAGGGGUAGAGGUCCUCGGUACAGGGAGACUUCCAUCUACAGCAGAGGGGUAGAGGUCCUCGGUACAGGGAGACUUCCAUCUACAGCAGAGGGGUAGAGGUCCUCGGUACAGGGAGACUUCCAUCUACAGCAGAGGGGUAGAGGUCCUCGGUACAGGGAGACUUCCAUCUACAGCAGAGGAUUAGGUCCUCGGUACAGGGAGACUUCCAUCUACAGCAGAGGGGUAGAGGUCCUCGGUACAGGGAGACUUCCAUCUACAGCAGAGGGGUAGAGGUCCUCGGUACAGGGAGACUUCCAUCUACAGCAGAGGGGUAGAGGUCCUCGGUACAGGGAGACUUCCAUCUACAGCAGAGGGGUAGAGGUCCUCGGUACAGGGAGACUUCCAUCUACAGCAGAGGGGUAGAGGUCC